rnacentral:rRNA from 1 species
GAUGAACGCUAGCGAUAGGCUUAACACAUGCAAGUCGAGGGGUAACGUGUUGGAAGCUUGCUUCCGAUGACGACGACCGGCGGAUGGGUGCGUAACGCGUAUGCAACUUGCCUCACAGUGGAGAAUAACCCGGAGAAAUCCGGACUAAUGCUCCAUACACUCUUAAGUACGCCUGUACAUGAGAGGAAAGAUUUAUCGCUGUGAGAUAGGCAUGCGUCCUAUUAGGUAGUUGGUGAGGUAACGGCUCACCAAGCCGACGAUAGGUAGGGGUGCUGAGAGGCAGAUCCCCCACAUUGGGACUGAGACACGGCCCAAACUCCUACGGGAGGCAGCAGUGAGGAAUAUUGGGUCAUGGAGGAAACUCUGAAACAGCCAAGUCGCGUGAAGGAAGAAUGUCCUAAGGAUUUGUAACUUUCUUAGCGAGUGAGUAAGGACUUCCACGUGAUGGGAGUUUGAAAGUAGCUCGAGAAUAAGUAUCGGGUAACUCCGUGGCAGCAGCCGGCGGAAUACGGAAGAUACGAGCGGUAUCGAAUUUAUGGGUUUAAAGGGUGCCCAGUGGUCUUGCAGUCAGUGGUGAAAAGCUGAGGCUCAACCUCAGCCUUGCCGUUGAAACUGUAAGACUUGAGAGUACAUGAUGUGGGCGGAAUGCGUAGUGUAGCGGUGAAAUGCAUAGAUAUUACGCAGAACUCCGAUUGCGAAGGCAGCUCACAAAGGUAUAUCUGACACUGAGGCACGAAAGCGUGGGGAGCGAACAGGAUUAGAUACCCUGGUAGUCCACGCCGUAAACGAUGAUUACUCGAAGUAUGCGAUAUGACAGUAUGCUUCCAAGCGAAAGUGAUAAGUAAUCCACCUGGGGAGUACGCCGGCAACGGUGAAACUCAAAGGAAUUGACGGGGGCCCGCACAAGCGGAGGAACAUGUGGUUUAAUUCGGUGAUACGCGAGGAACCUUACCCGGGAUUGAAAUGUAUGUGCGCCUCUUGGGAAACCGAGAGGGUUCUCUUCGGAGACACAUAUGUAGGUGCUGCAUGGUUGUCGUCAGCUCGUGCCGUGAGGUGUCGGCUUAAGUGCCAUAACGAGCGCAACCCUUAUCGUCAGUUACUAACAGGUUAAGCUGAGGACUCUGGCGAGACUGCCGUCGUAAGGCGAGAGGAAGGUGGGGAUGACGUCAAAUCAGCACGGCCCUUACAUCCGGGGCGACACACGUGUUACAAUGGUAGGGACAGAGAGUAGCCACUCGGUGACGAGGAGCGGAUCUUGAAACCCUAUCUCAGUUCGGAUCGGAGUCUGCAACUCGACUCCGUGAAGCCGGAUUCGCUAGUAAUCGCGCAUCAGCCAUGGCGCGGUGAAUACGUUCCCGGGCCU